GACGAACGCUGGCGGCGUGCUUAACACAUGCAAGUCGAACGGAAAGGCCCUGCUUUCGUGGGGUGCUCGAGUGGCGAACGGGUGAGUAACACGUGAGUAACCUGCCCUUGACUUUGGGAUAACUUCAGGAAACUGGGGCUAAUACCGGAUAGGAGCUCCUGCUGCAUGGUGGGGGUUGGAACGUUUCGGCGGUUGGGGAUGGACUGGCGGCUUAUCAGCUUGUUGGUGGGGUAGUGGCCUACCAAGGCUUUGACGGGUAGCCGGCCUGAGAGGGUGACCGGCCACAAUGGGACUGAGAGACGGACCAGACUCCUACGGGGGGCAGCAGUGGGGAGUAUUGCACAAUGGGCGGAAGCCUGAUGCAGCAACGCCGCGUGCGGGAUGACGGCCUUCGGGUUAUAAACCGCUUUAGCCUGUGACGAAGCGGGAGUGACGGUAAUGGGUAAAGAAGCACCGGCUAACUACGUG
rnacentral:rRNA from 1 species